rnacentral:rRNA from 1 species
CCUACGGGAGGCAGCAGUGGGGAAUCUUGCACAAUGGAGGAAACUCUGAUGCAGCGAUGCCGCGUGAGUGAAGAAGGCCUUUGGGUUGUAAAGCUCUUUUGUAGGGGAAGAUAAUGACUGUACCCUAAGGAUAAGGUCCGGCUAACUUCGUGCCAGCAGCCGCGGUAAUACGAAGGGACCUAGCGUAGUUCGGAAUUACUGGGCGUAAAGCGCGCGUAGGCCGUUGAGUUAGUUAAUUGUGAAAUCCCAAAGCUUAACUUUGGAACUGCAAUUAAAACUGCUCGACUAGAGUUUGAUAGAGGAAAGCGGAAUACAUAGUGUAGAGGUGAAAUUCGUAGAUAUUAUGUAGAACACCAGUUGCGAAGGCGGCUUUCUGGAUCAACACUGACGCUGAGGCGUGAAAGUAUGGGUAGCAAAGAGGAUUAGAUACCCUGUAGUCCAUACCAUAAACGAUGAUUGCUAGAUGUUAGAAAUUUAUUUCAGUAUCGCAGCUACGACAUAAGUACACUACCGUCCGUCGGGUAGGUACGGACCGACCGAACGGUUAAAACGUUAACGUAAAGGAAAGUUAGUACGGCGUGAGACGUGCCGACGGACGACGACGAGGGAGGUAGG